CCUUCUUUUUAAAACUUAUUUUUUUCCCUGAGAUUUUGCCUGUCAAGCUGGGUGAUUUUGUGUUUUAGAUCCUUUUCUGAAUUCUGUGGUUCAGUUGAGAUUCAAAUCAAAAUAGGUAAAAGGUAACUAGGCCAAGGCCAAAGGUAGUUGAUGUUUUGAUUGAUUUGUCUUGUAGUUGUGGUAAUUAUCCUACCAAGUAUGCUCUACCCCAACGGCCAGUUGACGAAGCAUGGCAAUUUCGACGAGAUGUUGUCAUUGUGGCUCGUGGGGCUGUUCAGCUGGUGUGGGUUUGGUGCGUUGCGGAUUUGGCUUCGUGCAGCGCAGAUUUAGUGUAGCGUGGUGCGAGUUUGGCCUGGGUGGUGUUUCACUGGUGAUAGUGAUAGCAGCACGCUGCUAUUUCAUGUGUCAAAUUAGGUUUCCAUGGAGACAUCAACAAGCCCCACUCACAUUGCUCCAACACAACCACAAGUGUGACGUCAGCAGAAUAGCAGCGUGCUGCUAUCACCGGUGAAACACCACCCUGGUGACGAACUUGACGGGGUGUCAAUAAAGCUGGAGUCACCUUCAGCGCUAGCCAGUAAAUGUGUAGAUAAAAGGAAGCUGAAAUUUAAAAACAAUCUAACCUUACCUAACCUUACCUAUUGGCUAUUAACAUACUAACCUAUACCCUACACCCUACCAACUGACGGUGAUGCCAGCUUUACCAUAAACCGUAGGUUGUAGUUUAGUAGGUAAGGUUAGGUCAGGUUAGAUAAUGUUUUGUUCUGUUAGACUAGGUGGGUAUUUGAUUAGAUUUAAAAGCGAAUUUUGUGUAAAUGUCUCAAGAACUGGAGAGUCUAGCGACUUCACAAAUGGGUGGCAGCAUGUGAGAUGCCUGCUAUAUGAAUACCAGAAAUCCUUCUCUAUGCCUCAACCCCCUGUUCUGGGCUGGGCGGACACUUUCAUCCCAUGUGGGAAGCUCCCCUAGGAGCAUACACGGAGCCAGGUGCAGUGUCAGGGACAGGGUGCCCUGUUCACUGGAUGGGCUCAGCCCCAAUGACUUGUACCAGGGUGUUUGCCCAUACCAAUAGCUCCCCCUAAUUCCUAUCAUUCCUCCAACUCUGUAGUCUUUUUGGGCCAAAACUUGAAAGGCAACCCAACAAAACUUUAAAUUGAUUUUUAACUUGUGGCAUAGUACUUACUAUUUUGCCAGUCUGACAACAUCCCAUUACUGCCUUGACUGGCUUUCUUCUCUCUCAGGCUGAUCCUGUGUCACAGAGCCACAUAGAUGAGCAGCUACCCAUCGUAGGAUGCACACUCAACCUCCUGCUAGUUUCUGAGCCAAGUCAGCUUGACAGAGGGGUCUGCUAAUGCACAGCCACCUAGCCACUGCUAACAGAUGCUGGCUGGGACAGACGCUCAUCAAAGGUGUGCCACACGACAUGGGCAUUCUCGUUCUGCAUCAAGCCUCAAGGUGCCUCAGCCAAACGGCAGUGAGAAAUAAGGGUUGGAAUAAAAGAAGAGGACUGAGGAGAAAAUCCAUUUACCACAAUUUUAUCACUGUGGACCAUCGCGAAUGCGUAGUGUAAUAUACCUAUUAACUUAGUAGCCCAGCACGCUCAAGAGAUCUUGGAAACUGGACCACCCCAGAUCAGUAGAUGCAGACAUGCACGUGCAGACGAAACACCAGCGCCAUGCAUGGGGUCCAAUCUCACCAUGGAAAUGCCAAAGCACACAGCUCAAGCCAUGCUGCCAUCCACAUGACGUGCGGCCAGGUAUCCAUUAUCAGGCUAGAUAUGUGAUAUCUGAGUUUUUUUAUAACAUAGCCAUUUGCAAUCUUUUGUGGCGAUGGAACUUUCUUAGCAUAAAAGACCGCCGUUGUGUACCGUGCCUGUGGCCAGCUUAGUCGUUUCCAUUGUAUGCUUUGUGGUUUUUUAGUUCUGAGCAUGUUAUCUUCCAACAGGCUCGUUGCUGUCGGCGGUUCUGAAGACAGCGGUUCGAUCCAGCUGAAGGACGUCACCCAGCGUCCCAAAAUUUGUUGAUUUGGAUGCGAAAUGACAUCCAGCUGAAAGUCAUUUUCCACUCUCACCUCCAACUUUUCAGAACAAUUUUCUACUCUCAACUUUACCGAGAAAAGCAUUGUGAGGAUGGCCAUUUUGCAUCGCACAUUUUACCACACUCGUAUAUAGAAAUUUAUGUUACCUACCUAUCCUUUUAUCACUCUUUUUGGGCCUUAUCUGACCAGCAAUUUUCCACUCACAUCCCCCUUUUUGCUGAUAAAUUUUCCCCUCCGGCACCCAAGCCAGAAUGCAAUUUUGGGACACUGACGUCACCUGGCAGGAAGUUGUAGAGUGUGGUGGCCAGUAUCAAGCCACAUUGUCCAGAAACCAUCACAUUAUCUCCAGGUCACUAGUCGCCGGUGCUCGAGCUGACGGCGUCGUUCAAGGGCUCCACGGUGACAAGCGCCGUCACCGCUGCCGCCGCCGCCGAGACCAUCCGACUCCUGGGCCCUGUUUCACGGCAGCGUACUGCAGCGCGCUACGCAGCGCUGCUGUGUUAGUGCGGCGAUUGAGACGAAUUCGGCUCGACGCUCCAGCGUUGCGAAACACCCGUGUCUAUGAAGGAUACGCCGAUACGUCUUCCAGCUUCAAGCCCUUCCCGCCCCCCCCCCCCCCGCCCCGUCCCAACGGUGUUGGCCGAGAUUGGGGUUGGUAUUUUAACGGGCUCUCCGAUGACGUCCCGCAAUUUGUGUUAUGUAAUUUGACAAUUAUGUCGUAGUCUCAUUCUGUCUCGAUAUGCUAAUAAAUGAUAAAUGGGACGGAGGUUGGAAGUAAGGUGUGAGUGGCUGUAACCGGCAGGUUUUGGCGAGCGCGAUAUUAGUUAUUGUGAGCGCGCCAGCUGCAUUAAAUCGCGCGCUUCUGGCGAGAAAAGACUUGCUCUGGAACCUAGAAGUUUGUCGUGAAAUCUAUGUGCCUUUGGAUUGAAUUAUUAGAACAUAAUGUACUUUCGGUGUCCAGCACUGCAGCUCUGGAAAUAGAAAUAUGGAUGUUGGCUGUUUGAUGUAGCAAGGGCUAACAAUCUGCGUCAAGAAUCAAAAGCUGUAUGCAAAUUAAAGUGAAUAUAUUUCAAUGAAUUUUUAAAUUUUGUGAUACAAAACAUAAAUGUGUCAACUACUGAUUACACCCGGCUGCAAACACUGUAACGCUUGCAAUGCUGUACGGCAAAUAAAUAAUAUAGAUUCUC